UUCCGCCGGGGGACCGAAUUGAGACGUAGCCUCGGAAGUCCCGGAAGCCGGCUCCGCCAGUGGCCCCGCCUUUCCUGUCUUCCACGUAAAACGGGUGCGGUGAGGGGGCCCGAGCGACCCGGACCUAGGCUCUGAGCCUCCUGUGGUGCUAGAAUCCUGCUGCAGACACUCGCCAGCUGUGUGACCCUGGACGACGCACUGAGCCUCCCCGAGCCUCGGUUUCCCCAUCUGUAAAAGAGAUAGAGAAACUGACGUCCAUGGCUCAGAUUUUAAGUGUCCACAAGUACGAGAAACAACAGGCCGUUACCGCCUUAGCCGCCAUUCUGUGACUCUAAUCUAUUGCAGGACUUGAGCCUCCUGACCUCAUCACAUCUGGGAUAAAGUCAGCUAUGACCUGGAGUGUGGCCAGAAUGUUAGAACAGACAGCCUUUGACAGCUGAGAUAUGCAACUGAGCAACAAGUCUCAGGGUGACACAGUCUGGGGCAACCUAUGAGAUAAAGACUAUGGAUAUUAAUAUUUCCACUUUACAGAUGAAGAAACUGAGGUCCAGAGAGCUCAUUUGAUGUCUUCCUCAUGGACACAACACAACCCAUAAAGCUCCAAGCUCUACACAAGGGAUCCCCCCAGUCUGAGAGGGGGGAAGUGAUGGUCAGAGGAGGAGCAGAGCCAGGUCCUGCCCUCAUGGAAUUCCCCAUGAAGGAGAGAAAGGAGGAGAAGACCAGCUGUUCUAUCCUCAGGAAAUUCCUAGUCCAGACGAUACAGGACUCCCCCACUGGAAACAAUGAGGCCCCAUGAUAAUGUGGGAUCAACAAACCCCUCCAAAUCACUGAGAGCUGACGGAAACUCCAGGCCUUUUGAAGUCCAGCCUCCCCUGAAUGGCAAAGGGUGAAAUAUGGAGGUCAGAGGUAGCUGAGUUUCAGCCUCCUCGCCUGUCUAAUGGGGGAGGCGGACUCCAUCUCUCCUGUCCCUUCCAGCUCUGUGGCCCAUGAUCCUCUCUGGGAGCCUCCCAGAUGCUGGGGGGAAGGGUGGGGUGGCUUCCUGAGGGGCCCAGCAGGCAGUGGAAGGGAAGUCUGUACUUCUGAGGAUGAGCUGGAGAAGGCUGGAGACAGUUUUCCAGGGAACAUGAGCCAGAAGGGAAGUAGGAAUUCCUUAGGAAAUGAGGCCAACUCAGGCAUUGGUCAGCUAUGCCUUGGCCCAGCCAAAGUCAAUCCAUGUAGGUGGGAAGGGAGACUUGGAGAUACCUCCCUCCACAAUUACGUAGUCUUGGUUGGGGAGUUCAUCUUCUUUUAGGGGAGGGCAGGAUCUGGGAAUCACCUGUGAGAGCCACUCGCCCCCCUCCACUUCCCCAUAUCUUUAUAGCACCCUAGGCCAGACAUGCCACCAGGAUGGGGUCCUGGAAUAGGCAAAAGAGCCCAGGGCAAGUGUGGCAUCUUUCCCAGGCCUGAGAUCAAGGACUAGGGCCAGGCAAACCCCUACCGACACCCACAGUUUUUCAGCUAUACCUCCCUGGGUUCAGGUCAACAAACGGUUAUCAGCUGCCUAGCGUAUGUACUCGGUGAUGGGGGUUUACCAGAUUCAUGCCUCAGCGAUGAAGGAAGCAGCACCACACACUGCUGGUUAUUGACUCUUGUUACCUCCACCAUGAAGCAUUCCCUGAUCUAAAGUGCAGCAGGUAGAGCUGGUAGUCAUUAAGUCUUGCUUAAUGUCAGGGGCUCACUCUCUCACCUUCCAAAUGAGGGGAGUGGAUUUGAUCUCUAAACCUAUGACCCUUUUGGUUGGAAAUGUCCUUUUCCCCAUGGAUUCCAUAUAGUCUUUUAUUUUCACAUAAUACCAUGUAUUGUAAUUAGUUAUCUGCCUAUUAGACCACAAGCUUAGUGAGAAUAGGAACUCUUUUCUUAUCU